UGCCUUAGUAACGGCGAGUGAAGCGGCAACAGCUCAAAUUUGAAAGCUGGCCCUUUUAGGGUCCGCAUUGUAAUUUGUAGAGGAUGAUUCGGCAAGGGCUCCUGCCUAAGUCCCCUGGAACGGGGCGUCAUAGAGGGUGAGAAUCCCGUAUGCGGUAGGUUGCCUUAGCCAUGUGAAUCUCCUUCGACGAGUCGAGUUGUUUGGGAAUGCAGCUCUAAAUGGGAGGUAAAUUUCUUCUAAAGCUAAAUACCGGCCAGAGACCGAUAGCGCACAAGUAGAGUGAUCGAAAGAUGAAAAGCACUUUGGAAAGAGAGUUAAAAAGUACGUGAAAUUGUUGAAAGGGAAGCGCUUGCAACCAGACUUGUCCGCAGUUGCUCAGCCGGUCUCCUGACCGGCGUACUCUUCUGCGGCCAGGCCAGCAUCAGUUCGGGCGGUCGGAUAAAGGCCUCGGGAAUGUAGCUCCUCUCGGGGAGUGUUAUAGCCCGGGGUGGAAUGCGGCCAGCCUGGACUGAGGAACUCGCUUCGGCAAGGAUGCUGGCGUAAUGGUUGUAAGCGGCCCGUCUUGAAACACGGACCAAGGAGUCUAACAUCUAUGCGAGUGUUCGGGUGUCAAACCCGUACGCGUAAUGAAAGUGAACGGAGGUGGGAACCCGCAAGGGUGCACCAUCGGCCGAUCCUGAUGUCUUCGGAUGGAUUUGAGCAAGAGCAUAGCUGUUGGGACCCGAAAGAUGGUGAACUAUGCCUGAAUAGGGUGAAGCCAGAGGAAACUCUGGUGGAGGCUCGCAGCGGUUCUGACGUGCAAAUCGAUCGUCAAAUUUGGGUAUAGGGGCGAAAGACUAAUCGAACCAUCUA
rnacentral:rRNA from 1 species